GACGAACGCUGGCGGCGUGCCUAAUACAUGCAAGUAGAACGCUGAAGGAGGAGCUUGCUCUUCUGGAUGAGUUGCGAACGGGUGAGUAACGCGUAGGUAACCUGCCUGGUAGCGGGGGAUAACUAUUGGAAACGAUAGCUAAUACCGCAUAACAGUAGAUGUUGCAUGACAUUUACUUAAAAGGUGCAAUUGCUUCACUACCAGAUGGACCUGCGUUGUAUUAGCUAGUUGGUGGGGUAACGGCUCACCAAGGCGACGAUACAUAGCCGACCUGAGAGGGGGAUCGGCCACACUGGAACUGAGACACGGCCAAGACUCCUACGGGAGGCAGCAGUAGGGAAUCUUCGGCAAUGGACGGAAGUCUGACCGAGCAACGCCGCGUGAGUGAAGAAGGUUUUCGGAUCGUAAAGCUCUGUUGUAAGAGAAGAACGAGUGUGAGAGUGGAAAGUGCACACUGUGACGGUAUCUUACCAGAAAGGGACGGCUAACUACGU
rnacentral:rRNA from 1 species